GUCUGUUUGGAGAUAUAAAAAGUCUAGCCUGCCCACUGAUAUUAUUUAAAGGGCCGCGGUAUAUUGACUGUGCAAAGGUAGCAUAAUCGUUAGUUUUUUAAUUGGAAUCUUGUAUGAAUGGUUUGACAAAAGAAAAUCUGUCUUUAUAAUUAUUUAUUGAAUUUAACUUUUAAGUGAAAAGGCUUAAAUAAGUUAAAAAGACGAUAAGACCCUAUAAAGCUUAAUAUUAAUUUUUAUUUAAUAAAAUUUUAAAUAAUAUAAAUAUUUAGUAGAAAAUUUUUUAUUUUAUUGGGGCGAUAAUAAUAAAAUGAUUAUUAACUGUUAAUAAAAUUUAAACAAAAAUAAAUGAAUAAAAGUAUAAAUUAAAUGAUCCUUUUUGAAGAUUAGAAGUUUAAGUUACUUUAGGGAUAACAGCGUUAUUUUUUUUGAGAGUUCUUAUCGAGAAAAAAGUUUGCGACCUCGAUGUUGAAUUAAAAUAUCUAUAUAAUUGUAGCAGUUAUAUAAGAAGGUCUGUUCGACCUUUAAAUUUUUACAUGAUUUGAGUUCAGACCGGCGUAAGCCAGGUUGGUUUCUAUCUUUUAAUAUAUAAAAAAUA
rnacentral:rRNA from 1 species